AGUAACCUGCCUUUUACACAGGGAUAGCCUCGGGAAACCGGGAUUAAAACCUGAUGAAACUAUCAAAUCACAUGAUUAAGAGAGUUAAAACUCCGGUGGUAAAAGAUGGACUCGCGUCCCAUUAGCUAGUUGGUGAAGGUAACGGCCCACCAAGGCAACGAUGGGUAGCCGGCCUGAGAGGGUGAACGGCCACAUUGGAACUGAGAAACGGUCCAAACUCCUACGGGAGGCAGCAGUGGGGAAUAUUGCACAAUGGGGGAAACCCUGAUGCAGCGACGCCGCGUGAGCGAAGAAGGCCUUCGGGUCGUAAAGCUCUUUUAUAUGGGAAGAUAAUGACGGUACCAUAAGAAAAAGCCCCGGCUAACUACGUGCCAGCAGCCGCGGUAAUACGUAGGGGGCUAGCGUUGUCCGGAAUCACUGGGCGUAAAGGGUUCGCAGGCGGCAAUGCAAGUCAGAUGUAAAAGGCAAAGGCUCAACCUUUGUAAGCAUCUGAAACUGUAUAGCUUGAGAAGUGUAGAGGCAAGUGGAAUUUUUAGUGUAGCGGUGAAAUGCGUAGAUAUUAAAAAGAAUACCGGUGGCGAAGGCGACUUGCUGGGCACAAUCUGACGCUGAGGAACGAAAGCGUGGGGAGCAAACAGGAUUAGAUACCCUGGUAGUCCACGCCGUAAACGAUGAGUGCUAGGUGUCGGUAUAAAUCGG
rnacentral:rRNA from 1 species